AGACCCGAAACCCGGUGAUCUAGCCAUGGGCAGGUUGAAGGUUGGGUAACACUAACUGGAGGACCGAACCGACUAAUGUUGAAAAAUUAGCGGAUGACCUGUGGCUGGGGGUGAAAGGCCAAUCAAACCGGGAGAUAGCUGGUUCUCCCCGAAAGCUAUUUAGGUAGCGCCUCGUGAAUUCAUCUCCGGGGGUAGAGCACUGUUUCGGCUAGGGGGCCAUCCCGGCUUACCAACCCGAUGCAAACUGCGAAUACCGGAGAAUGUUAUCACGGGAGACACACGGCGGGUGCUAACGUCCGUCGUGAAGAGGGAAACAACCCAGACCGCCAGCUAAGGUCCCAAAGUCAUGGUUAAGUGGGAAACGAUGUGGGAAGGCCCAGACAGCCAGGAUGUUGGCUUAGAAGCAGCCAUCAUUUAAAGAAAGCGUAAUAGCUCACUGGUCGAGUCGGCCUGCGCGGAAGAUGUAACGGGGCUAAACCAUGCACCGAAGCUGCGGCAGCGACACUCAGGUGUUGUUGGGUAGGGGAGCGUUCUGUAAGUCUGCGAAGGUGGCCUGUGAGGGUUGCUGGAGGUAUCAGAAGUGCGAAUGCUGACAUAAGUAACGAUAAAGCGGGUGAAAAGCCCGCUCGCCGGAAGACCAAGGGUUCCUGUCCAACGUUAAUCGGGGCAGGGUGAGUCGA
rnacentral:rRNA from 1 species